AUACGUAGGGUGCAAGCGUUAAUCGGAAUUACUGGGCGUAAAGCGUGCGCAGGCGGUUUUGUAAGACAGUGGUGAAAUCCCCGGGCUCAACCUGGGAACUGCCCUUGUUACUGCAAGGCUGGAGUGCGGCAGAGGGGGAUGGAAUUCCGCGUGUAGCAGUGAAAUGCGUAGAUAUGCGGAGGAACACCGAUGGCGAAGGCAAUCCCCUGGGCCUGCACUGACGCUCAUGCACGAAAGCGUGGGGAGCAAACAGGAUUAGAUACCCUGGUAGUCCACGCCCUAAACGAUGUCAACUGGUUGUUGGGGAUUUAUUUUCUCAGUAACGAAGCUAACGCGUGAAGUUGACCGCCUGGGGAGUACGGCCGCAGGGUUAAAACUCAAAGGAAUUGACGGGG
rnacentral:rRNA from 1 species